rnacentral:rRNA from 1 species
AUUAAUAUUAAAUAAUAUAUAUAUAUAUAUAUAUAUAAAUAUUAAUUUAUUAAAAAUAUUUUUAAUAUAAAAAAUUUUAGUAAAUAAUUAAGAAAAAAAAAAUAUAUUUAUAAAUAAUUUAUUGUAAAAGAUUUUUUUUAUUAUUAAAAAAAUAAUAUUAUUUUAUGUACCUUUUGUAUCAGGAAUUAUUAAAAUAUAAAUUUAUAUAAAUUAAUUUCGAAAUAAAAUGAUCAAUUUAUUUAUAAUAAUUAAUAUAUUAUUAUUAUUAUUAAUUUAUAAAUAGUAAUUAAAUGUUAUUCGAAUUUUAUGAUAUCUAAUUUUUUUUUAAAUAAAUUUAAUUUAUAUAUUAAUUUAAAUAUUAUUUAUAAAAAUAAUAUUAAUUUAAUAUAAAAAAUUUUAGGGAUAAACUUAAAAUUUAUUUUAAUAUAAAUUUAAAUUUUAUAAAAUAUAAAAUUUAAAAUUUUUAUUAUUAAAUAAAAUGUAAUAAUUAAUUUAUUAAAUAUAAUAAUUUAAUAAAAAAUUUAAUAAUUAAAAAAAAAAAUUAUUUAAUAAUUUAAAUAAUUUUAUAAUGAUAAUAUUAGUAUAAUUUAAAAUAAAUAAUUUUUUUAUUUAAAGAUUAUUUUAAGGAAUUAGGCAAAAAUUUUAUUCAACUGUUUAUUAAAAACAUUGUUUAUUGAAUAUAAUAUUAAAUAAAAUCUGCUCAAUGAUUAUAUAUUAAAUAGCUGCAGUAAAUUAACUGUACUAAGGUAGCAUAAUAAUUUGAUUUUUUAAUAAAAUCUAGAAUGAAAGAUUUAAUGAAAUAAAAUCUGUCUCAAAAUAAAUAAUAUUAAAAUUUAUUUUUUUUGUAAAAAAACAAAAAUUUUAAUAAAAGACGAUAAGACCCUAUAGAAUUUUAUUAUUUAAUUAUUUAAUUUAUUAUAAAAUUUUAUUAAAUAUUUAAAUAAUUUUAUUGGGGUAAUAUAAAAAUUUAAUUAAUUUUUUAAUAAAAUUAAUCAUAAAUUUAUGAAUUAUUAUAAAAAUUUAUAAUAAAAUUAAAAUUAAUUACCUUAGGGAUAACAGCGUAAUAUUUUUUGUAAAGUUCAUAUUAAUAAAAAAGAUUGCGACCUCGAUGUUGAAUUAAGAUAAAUUUAAAUUGAAGAUAAUUUAAAAUUAAGUCUGUUCGACUUUUAAAAUCUUACAUGAUUUGAGUUAAAAUCGGUGUAAACCAGAUUGGAUUCUAUCUUUAUUUAAUUUAAUUAUAUUUGUACGAAAGGAAUUUAUAAUUUAAAUAA